AACGCGAAGAACCUUACCUGGUCUUGACAUCCACGGAAUUCGGCAGAGAUGCCUUAGUGCCUUCGGGAACCGUGAGACAGGUGCUGCAUGGCUGUCGUCAGCUCGUGUUGUGAAAUGUUGGGUUAAGUCCCGCAACGAGCGCAACCCUUAUCCUUUGUUGCCAGCGGUCCGGCCGGGAACUCAAAGGAGACUGCCAGUGAUAAACUGGAGGAAGGUGGGGAUGACGUCAAGUCAUCAUGGCCCUUACGACCAGGGCUACACACGUGCUACAAUGGCGCAUACAAAGAGAAGCGACCUCGCGAGAGCAAGCGGACCUCAUAAAGUGCUCUAGUCCGGAUUGGAGUCUGCAACUCGACUCCAUGAAGUCGGAAUCGCUAGUAAU
rnacentral:rRNA from 1 species